GCUGGAUUAUAGGUGCCCACCACCAUGCCUGGCUAAUUUUUGUAUUUUUAUUAGAGACGGGGUUUCACCAUAUUGGCUAGGCUGGUCUCAAACUCCUGACCUCAAGUGAUCCGACUGCUUUGGCCUCCCAAAGUGCUGGGAUUAUAGGAGUGAGCCACUAUGCCCAGCCCAUGACUUUUUUUAAAGAAAAAAUAUUGUCAUAGGAAAAAGUUUCCUUUGUUUGGGAUUCCCCAUGUGUGUUCCUACAGAGUACCUUGGUAUCUUGGAAUCUUGGUAUGGAACAAUGUGGAGUUUGAGAAAGCCCCCAGUCACCUUGUUUGUCACGCCCUCCCUCAGGAGGGGAUUUUUCUCUGUCACUGAAAAUAGCUGCUGAGGGCGGAUAUGACCCCCACCCUUUCCCCAUGUGGAACAGAGGCAUUCAUUGUCCCCUGUGGAUUUCCGUCUUGUAGACAAAAUCAUCUCUCUCUGUCGCCACUGAGACACAGUUCGUUUUGAAGCCUGAAGGUUUCCCUUGCUUAAUUGAUGAGGAACUAAUAAAGCAUGCCCUGUUCCUUGGAGUACAGCCCUAUUAAUGGCAGGAUUCUGAUAUUACUUUUGCACACGUAUUAAAUUGCAGCCCAGAAGCCAGAUCUUCUACUCUUUGCAAACUUAAUGGAAAGCAAGGGAGGCAGGUGGCAGUAACAGGUAAAUGAUGAACAAGAGUCAUUGUGUGCCUGGAGUUAUUAAAUUUUUUUCUGGGGCAGUCUCAGAAAAAUGCUCCUGGGCCUUAUCUAAGAAUAAUAGAUUUUGAAUCAGAGGGGACCUUAAAGGUUAUCAGAAUUUAGAGGUAAUCUGCCGCCCAGGGUAAAAAUCCCAUCUGCAGGGACUGCGAUAAAUGGUUAUAUCCAGCCUUAAAAAAAAAAAAAAAAGUUUCCAGUGACUGGGAGCUCAAGGCAGCUUGAGGCAGCCAAUCAUUGUCAGCAAAUAGAAAGCUUAUCUUAGCGAGUAGCCACUUCAUAGUUGACUCAAAAUAUAAUCUGUUUCUAGAAUAAACUUCUGGAUGGGACACAAAAUAAACUCUCACUCUACUCAUUUCUUGUAGCUAUACACAGAUAGAGCUAGAUAAUUCAAUUGGAAAGACUGUAGAACUGGAGGGGCUCUGAAUCAAGUGCUCAGAUGCCCUGGAUUUAUUUGGCGAGUACCAGCUGCAAACAUUUGUUCCAUUGUCAGACUAAAUGCCACAGCCAUGAUUUCCAGUCACUGCAGCAGGAGGCCAUCCCGAAGGGUGAUGUAAUUCCCAUUACAGUUGAUGGAAACAGCAGAUUGAAAAAAAGAAGCACAAUGACAAAAAAAGAUUCCAGGGGCUGGAAGUCUGAAAACUACAUUUCUAAGACAUCUACUGGCAAGAGAUGAAAAUGUGAAAGACAGAGAGAAGUCACUGUGAGAUUCUGCUGUCCCAGUUAACAGGAGCAGGAAGCUCAUGGACUCUUGACUCUUGAAGCCAGCAAUGGCAAUGGCAGCAAAGGCCACCACAGACAACUGUGAGCUGCUGCAGCUGUCAUGAGGCAACAGGGCAUUUCUCUACCUUUAAAAAAGAAAGGUCUCCAGUGGAACAGAGUACAGAGCUCAGAAAUAGGGCCACAUAUCUAUAACCAUCUGAUCUUAGAUAAAGCUGACACAAAGAAGCAAUGGAGAAAGAACUCCCUACUCAAUAAAUGGUGCUGGAAUAAUUGGCUAGCCAUUAUGCAGAAGAUUGAAACUGGACCCCUUCCUUACGCCAUACAAAAAAAUAAACUCAAGAAGAUUAAAGACUUAAAUGUAAAACCCCAAACUACAAAAACUCAGAAGACAACCUAAGCAACACCAUUCUGGACAUAGGAACUGGCAAAGAUUUCAUGAGGGGGAUGCCAAAAGCAUUUGCAACAAAAGCAAAAAUUGACAAAUGGAAUCUAAUUAAACUUAAGAGCUUCUUCAUAGCAAAAGAAACUAUCAACAAAGUACCAGACAACCUAGAGAAUGGGAGAAAAUUUUUGCAAACUAUGUGUCUGACAAAGCUCUAAUAUCCAGCAUCUAUAAGGAACUUUAACAAAUUUACAGGAAACAAACAACCCCAUUAAAAAGUGGGCAAAAGACAUGAACAGACGCUUUCCAAAAGAAUAUGUACAUGCAGCCAACAAGCGUAUGAAAAAAUGCUCAACAUCGCGGCCGCCACCCCAUCUGGGAAGUGA
rnacentral:lncRNA from 10 species